UCUGCAGGAAGGUAAUGUCUUUUACUGUGAGUGGAAAUUAAAUAAAUGAAGCUGGUCUCCAGCUGAGAACCAGCUGAUAAAGUCUUUUCUAGUGAAGAUAUCCCAGGUAAAAUCUUGUGGAUCCAGACACAUGUUAUAAUCUUGAUGACUACUCAGCUUCAUCCUCAGUCCUCAGGAUUCUCAGAACCAAAGAGUCAGAGGUCCUCGCACAGAGACAGAAGAAAUGAAAAGGCAAAGCUCUGCUCAGGAGCAUGAGAUUAUUGAAUUAAAAGAAGAUAACAUGGAGGAAAGUGAGGCUGAUCAUGACAAGCCUCUAAAUGCUCCAACGAGAAAGGCAUGGCUGACCCCCCCCCCGAGAGCUGUCUGUAUUAGUCACACCACCCCUCCCUUCCCGCUCCUGGUGGAGUAACUGCAACUGCUUCCUUGUGCAAGCCCCGCUGAUCAUCUCUGUGUGCUGAUCCAUUCCACUGGCUGGGCAAAACCCCCAUUUACUCUACCAUAUCAGGGGUCAGCUACUUCUCCUCUGGUCUGCAAAGUUCUGUGUGCAGAGAUGUCUGCAGAGAGUGUUUCCCUUUUUCUGCCCCUGCUUCUGGAGAAAUGACUCUUGUAAGAUCUUUCUGAGAGGGAUCACUGGAAGUCCUGCAGGAAUGUAGUUUUCUGGAAGUGUAAACUAUGGAUGGUUAUAACUGCAAUAUUUCUAGUAAUCCUCCUCGUCAUUCUCAUCAGCC